rnacentral:lncRNA from 1 species
AUAGCUGGUUCUAGGACCAUAUUUGCAAAUCACUGCACCAAUUUCUGUGUUGUAGUUGGUUUUUGAGUCUCCAGCUUCACCUCUCAACUCCUGCCACUUUAUGGAACACCCUCAGUGCCCAGGGGUCUCUUGUCCUUGGUCCUGGUUCUCCCUGGGCUGCCUUGAGACUUUGCAGUGUGCCAAUAAGAGGAUGUAUAUGAGACCCUUACUCAUGUAUUUUUCUCUUGUGAAGCUGAUCACACUGGACUUUUAAGUCCUUUCUUCCUGACAUUCAGUCUUUGACUCUGAAUUAGCUGAGGCAUGAGAAGUUCACCACAGGAAGGUCCUGCCCUUUGUUUGCUCCUAAAGGUUCCUUUAAAGUUCAACUUGACCAACACACCAUUGCAAGCACUCCAGAGGAGAAGACAGCCUUGCUGUGUCAAAUCCACUUUAGUUUGUAAAUUUCUUGUCAGUCACUUUUAUGCCCCCACUGAAUAGGACAGUGUGAAGCAUGGAUUAAGUAUGCAAUAAAUGGUUGUUGAAUAAAUCAGAAAAUUAAAUGCAUUCUGCACAG